rnacentral:rRNA from 1 species
GACGAACGCUGGCGGCGUGCCUAAUACAUGCAAGUAGAACGCUGAAGCGAGGAGCUUGCUCUUCUUGGAUGAGUUGCGAACGGGUGAGUAACGCGUAGGUAACCUGCCUUGUAGCGGGGGAUAACUAUUGGAAACGAUAGCUAAUACCGCAUAACAAUGGAUGACCCAUGUCAUUUAUUUGAAAGGGGCAAAUGCUCCACUACAAGAUGGACCUGCGUUGUAUUAGCUAGUAAGUGAGGUAACGGCUCACCUAGGCGACGAUACAUAGACGACCUGGGAGGGUGAUCGGCCACACUGGGACUGAGACAAGGCCCAGACUCCUACGGGAGGCAGCAGGAGGGAAUCUUCGGCAAUGGGGGCAACCCUGACCGAGCAACGCCGCGUGAGGGAAGAAGGGUUUCGGAUCGUAAAGCUCUGUUGUAAGUCAAGAACGAGUGUGAGAGUGGAAAGUUCACACUGUGACGGUAGCUUACCAGAAAGGGACGGCUAACUACGUG